UACUUCAACUACAAAAGCACUA
rnacentral:tRNA from 1 species